rnacentral:rRNA from 1 species
UACGUAGGGUGCAAGCGUUGCCCGGAAUUAUUGGGCGUAAAGAGCUCGUAGGCGGUUUGUCGCGUCUGCUGUGAAAACCCGAGGCUCAACCUCGGGCCUGCAGUGGGUACGGGCAGACUAGAGUGCGGUAGGGGAGAUUGGAAUUCCUGGUGUAGCGGUGGAAUGCGCAGAUAUCAGGAGGAACACCAAUGGCGAAGGCAGAUCUCUGGGCCGUAACUGACGCUGAGGAGCGAAAGCAUGGGGAGCGAACAGG